AGUGAACGCUGGCGGUAGGCCUAACACAUGCAAGUCGAACGGCAGCACAGUAAGAGCUUGCUCUUACGGGUGGCGAGUGGCGGACGGGUGAGGAAUACAUCGGAAUCUACUUUUUCGUGGGGGAUAACGUAGGGAAACUUACGCUAAUACCGCAUACGACCUACGGGUGAAAGCAGGGGAUCUUCGGACCUUGCGCGAUUGAAUGAGCCGAUGUCGGAUUAGCUAGUUGGCGGGGUAAAGGCCCACCAAGGCGACGAUCCGUAGCUGGUCUGAGAGGAUGAUCGGCCACACUGGAACUGAGACACGGUCCAGACUCCUACGGGAGGCAGCAGUGGGGAAUAUUGGACAAUGGGCGAAAGCCUGAUCCAGCAAUACCGCGUGGGUGAAGAAGGCCUUCGGGUUGUAAAGCCCUUUUGUUGGGAAAGAAAAGCAGCAGGUUAAUCCCCCGCUGUUCUGACGGUACCCAAAGAAUAAGCACCGGCUAACUUCGUG
rnacentral:rRNA from 1 species